UACGGGGGGAGCAAGCGUUGUUCGGAUUUACUGGGCGUAAAGGGCGCGUAGGCGGCCAGCACAAGUCAGUUGUGAAAUCUCCGAGCUUAACUCGGAAAGGUCAACUGAUACUGUGCGGCUAGAGUGCAGAAGGGGCAACUGGAAUUCUUGGUGUAGCGGUGAAAUGCGUAGAUAUCAGGAGGAACACCGGUGGCGAAGGCGGGUCUCUGGGCAGUAACUGACGCUGAGGAGCGAAAGCGUGGGGAGCGAACAGG
rnacentral:rRNA from 1 species